rnacentral:tRNA from 14 species
AUAAUUUCCAGGUUGAGUACCGCAAACAGCUGAGUAUAAAUUUUAUCGCGAAGUGCAUUAUCAGUCAACGAGUUUUGGUUGUGUGUGUAUUAUUGUUAAAAACCAAACCACACACAAACAACGAAAAAUUGCGGGAACUAAUUACAUACACAAAAGCAGAGUUCCACUAAUCACUGAUUUUGACAGAUAGUGCACUCAAUAUUUUGUUGUUGGGAAACUGUCAAUACUUGUAAAUGAGUAUAUCGUGGUUGUUGUGAAUUGACGAUAACGGCUCUGAGGAAGGCGGCAUUAAUUGGGAUGGCGACGGCGAUGGUACGUGAGUAAAUGGCGAAGCUAUUUGAAUUGACAACCCAAGAUAUAUUCCUUUACAGGUAGUGGCAGUUGUGUAUGUAAUUAGUUCCCGCCAUUUUUCGAAGUUUGUGUGUGGUAUCGUUCUUAACUAUAAUAUACACACACAAUCAAAAUUAAUUGACAUAUAGUGCACUUCGCGAGAAAAAAAUUUACUUAGCUGUUUACGGUACACUACCUGCUAAUUAUGUCAUGGUUUUCCCUUCUACUGGGUCGGUUGCGUACUUACAUUUUCGUCUAUGGCACGAUCAGCACUUGGCGACGGCGUCUUUGGUGUAUUAGGGGAGGAGUGUUGAAGGCUCAUGUCGAUAAGCGUUUCGCCGACGUUUUUUAAUUGGAGUUUGACAGCAUUCCGCCUGAAAAGCUGAACAGAAUACUAAGCUUAAUGCUAAAAAAGCGAACUUAACCGAUACAAUGUAUCUCCAAAACCAGACGGUAAUACAACUGAGUCGACGCCAGAAAAGAGGAAAUAUUGUUUAAUUGAUUGGAGAAGAAAAUUUCAUGCAGUAUGUUUAUUCGUUAAAAUUUUUAAAAAUAAAUGACAAACAUAUUAAAAAUUGUGAGAAUUGGUCUCACAUAUUUUUUCGUAGUUCAAGCAAAAUAUAAUGCCGAAAUGCCCUAAAAGCGCCUUUAAAAUUUUUGCCAAAAUUGUAUGUCAAUAUACAACUAUACAAAUGAAGCUACAGAAGUGAUACCAACGUUUUGUGUUUCAAUCUCGCCCAUUCCUGGUUCAAAACAACUUUAACAAACAACUU